rnacentral:rRNA from 1 species
UACAGAGGGUGCGAGCGUUGUCCGGAAUCACUGGGCGUAAAGGGCGCGUAGGUGGCGCUGCAAGUCGGUGAUGAAAGCUCGUCGCUUAACGACGAGUCGGCCAUCGAAACUGCGGGGCUGGAGCACUGUAGGGGCAGAUGGAAUUCCGGGUGUAGCGGUGGAAUGCGUAGAGAUCCGGAAGAACACCAGUGGCGAAGGCGGUCUGCUGGGCAGUUGCUGACACUGAGGCGCGACAGCGUGGGGAGCAAACAGG